rnacentral:rRNA from 1 species
UUGGAGGGCAAGUCUGGUGCCAGCAGCCGCGGUAAUUCCAGCUCCAAUAGCGUAUAUUAAAGUUGUUGCAGUUAAAAAGCUCGUAGUUGAAUUUCGGGACCAAUUUGUUGGUCGUGCCUCGGUACGUACUGGUAUUAUUGGUUUCUCCCUUCUGAAGAACCUCGAUGCCAUUAAUUUGGUGUCGUGGGGAAUCAGGACUGUUACUUUGAAAAAAUUAGAGUGUUUAAAGCAAGCAUACGCUUGAAUACAUUAGCGUGGAAUAAUGAAAUAGGACGUUUGAUUCUAUUUUGUUGGUUUCUAGGAUCGACGUAAUGAUUAAUAGGGAUAGUUGGGGGCAUUAGUAUUCAAUUGUCAGAGGUGAAAUUCAUGGAUUUAUUGAAGACUAGCUACUGCGAAAGCAUUUGCCAAGGAUGUUUUCAUUAAUCAAGAACGAAAGUUAGGGGAUCGAAGACGAUCAGAUACCGUCGUAGUCUUAACCAUAAACUAUGCCGACUAGGGAUCGGAUGAUGUUAACUUUUUAAUGACUCAUUCGGCGCCUUACGGGAAAC